CAAAAAUUUGGAUGUAAUCAUCGAUUACUUUUCGAUUACAUUUCGAUUACUUUAGUAAAAUAGUUUGAUGAAAAAUAACCUAUUUCAGAGGAAAAUAUGUAUGUUAUCACUUUGUAGUACAGAUAAAAUAUUAUGCAUUAACAAUACUUGAGAUUUAAGCAACUGCCUUAUUUCUAUCUAUUGUCUCUAGCUGCAUUAUGAGUAACCAGAUCCCUCCCCUACCUAAAUUUACUUUAUAUCUAGCUUUUGAAACAAAUGGAUGUAUGUGCUUGUCAAUAAUUCAAGAGCUUUAAUAUUUAAAUAAGAAAAUAGAUUUGAAAAAAUAAAAAAGAUCUUAAAUAAGAAAUGUGUCUGUCUUUCGUUAAGUUUUGUACUACAUUUUUUAAAAGUAGUAA
rnacentral:lncRNA from 1 species